GCUGUUAUAGUUUAAGUUUUGAAAAUUUCUAAUUUGUAAUUAAAGGAGUGUGUGUCAGUU
rnacentral:tRNA from 1 species